rnacentral:ncRNA from 1 species
UUUUCGUAUAAUCCCGGGAAUCGGCCCGGGAGUCUCUACGAGAUCACCGUAAUGAUCUGGCUACGAAAA